GUCUACAGCCAUGCCACCCUGAAUAAGCCCGAUGUCUGAUCUCGGAAGCUAAGCAGGGUUGGGCCUGGUUAGUACUUGGAUGGGAGACCACCUAGGAAGACCAGGUGCUGUGGGCA
rnacentral:rRNA from 1 species